rnacentral:rRNA from 1 species
AUUGAACGCUGGCGGCAGGCCUAACACAUGCAAGUCGAGCGAGUGGCGGACGGGUGAAUAAUGUCUGGGAAACUGCCAGAUUGAGGGGGAUGACUACUGGAAACGGUAGCUAAUACCGCCUACCAUCAGAUGUGCCAAGAUGGGAUUCACUGGGAGGUGGGGUAACGGCUCACCUAGGCGACGAUCCAUAGCUGGUCUGAGAGGAUGAACAGGCACACUGGAACUGAGACACGGCCCAGACGCCUACGGGAGGCAGCAGUGGGGAAUUUGGCGCAAUGGGCGCAAGCCUGACCCAGCAACGCCGCGUGGUUGAAGAAGGUCUUCGGGUCGUAAAGGACUUUUAUCAGGGAAGCGGUACCUGAAGAAUAAGCACCGGCUAACUACGUGCCAGCAGCCGCGGUAAUUC